GAUGAACGCUGGCGGCGUGCUUAACACAUGCAAGUCGAACGAUGAAGCUCAGCUUGCUGGGUGGAUUAGUGGCGAACGGGUGAGUAACACGUGAGUAACCUGCCCUUAACUCUGGGAUAAGCCUGGGAAACUAGGUCUAAUACCGGAUAGGAGCGCCUACCGCAUGGUGGGUGUUGGAAAGAUUUAUCGGUUUUGGAUGGACUCGCGGCCUAUCAGCUUGUUGGUGAGGUAAUGGCUCACCAAGGCGACGACGGGUAGCCGGCCUGAGAGGGUGACCGGCCACACUGGGACUGAGACACGGCCCAGACUCCUACGGGAGGCAGCAGUGGGGAAUAUUGCACAAUGGGCGAAAGCCUGAUGCAGCGACCCCGCGUGAGGGAUGACGGCCUUCGGGUUGUAAACCUCUUUCAGUAGGGAAGAAGCGAAAGUGACGGUACCUGCAGAAAAAGCACCGGCUAACUACGUGCCAGCAGCCGCGGUAAUACGUAAGGUGCGAGCGUUAUUCGGAAUUAAUGGGCGUAAAGAGCUCGUAGCGGUUUGUCGCGUCUGUCGUGAAAGUCCGGGGCUUAACCCCGGAUCUGCGGUGGGUACGGGCAGACUAGAGUGCAGUAGGGGAGACUGGAAUUCCUGGUGUAGCGGUGGAAUGCGCAGAUAUCAGGAGGAACACCGAUGGCGAAGGCAGGUCUCUGGGCUGUAACUGACGCUGAGGAGCGAAAGCAUGGGGAGCGAACAGGAUUAGAUACCCUGGUAGUCCAUGCCGUAAACGUUGGGCACUAGGUGCGGGGACCAUUCCACGGUUUCCGCGCCGCAGCUAACGCAUUAAGUGCCCCGCCUGGGGAGUACGGCCGCAAGGCUAAAACUCAAAGGAAUUGACGGGGGCCCGCACAAGCGGCGGAGCAUGCGGAUUAAUUCGAUGCAACGCGAAGAACCUUACCAAGGCUUGACAUGUUCUCGAUCGCCGUAGAGAUACGGUUUCCCCUUUGGGGCGGGUUCACAGGUGGUGCAUGGUUGUCGUCAGCUCGUGUCGUGAGAUGUUGGGUUAAGUCCCGCAACGAGCGCAACCCUCGUUCCAUGUUGCCAGCACGUAAUGGUGGGGACUCAUGGGAGACUGCCGGGGUCAACUCGGAGGAAGGUGAGGACGACGUCAAAUCAUCAUGCCCCUUAUGUCUUGGGCUUCACGCAUGCUACAAUGGCCGGUACAAUGGGUUGCGAUACUGUGAGGUGGAGCUAAUCCCAAAAAGCCGGUCUCAGUUCGGAUUGGGGUCUGCAACUCGACCCCAUGAAGUCGGAGUCGCUAGUAAUCGCAGAUCAGCAACGCUGCGGUGAAUACGUUCCCGGGCCU
rnacentral:rRNA from 1 species